AGCCUGAUGCAGCGACGCCGCGUGAGGGAUGACGGCCUUCGGGUUGUAAACCUCUUUCAGCAGGGAAGAAGCGAAAGUGACGGUACCUGCAGAAGAAGCGCCGGCUAACUACGUGCCAGCAGCCGCGGUAAUACGUAGGGCGCAAGCGUUGUCCGGAAUUAUUGGGCGUAAAGAGCUCGUAGGCGGCUUGUCACGUCGGUUGUGAAAGCCCGGGGCUUAACCCCGGGUCUGCAGUCGAUACGGGCAGGCUAGAGUUCGGUAGGGGAGAUCGGAAUUCCUGGUGUAGCGGUGAAAUGCGCAGAUAUCAGGAGGAACACCGGUGGCGAAGGCGGAUCUCUGGGCCGAUACUGACGCUGAGGAGC
rnacentral:rRNA from 1 species